rnacentral:rRNA from 1 species
UACGAAGGGGGCUAGCGUUGUUCGGAAUCACUGGGCGUAAAGCGCACGUAGGCGGACUUUUAAGUCAGCGGUGAAAUCCCAAGGCUCAACCUUGGAACUGCCUUUGAUACUGGGAGUCUUGAGUUCGGGAGAGGUGAGUGGAACUGCGAGUGUAGAGGUGAAAUUCGUAGAUAUUCGCAAGAACACCAGUGGCGAAGGCGGCUCACUGGCCCGAUACUGACGCUGAGGUGCGAAAGCGUGGGGAGCAAACAGG